UGCUAGCAUGUAUUAUAAGGUCUCUCGUUUAUGAAAUGGAUAUAUUUUAGAGUAUUGUUGAUCAACAUAGGUGAGACUCGUGAAAUUUGUGAUAGUAGUUAGUUUCCUUGAAUGUUUAUGUUUUCUGCUCAUCCUAACCUUCAGUGAUCACUGUUAGUAGUCUUUAUGCUGCUUAGAAAAAAAAUAUUUAUUAAUUUUAGUUAGAUCGGUGCUUGUGUGUAUAUAAUGUCUCUUAUUUUUGCUUAAAAAAAUUGUCUCUUAUUUUUCAUGAAAUAGAUGUAUAAUGGAGUCUCUUGUAACGUUGGUGAGAGACUCUUAAAAAUUGUGGUCGUAGUUUCCUUGAAUCUCUAGUGUGUUAUGUUUUGUGCUAUGCUCAUAAUCGACUCUACUACUAAUCUUAGAUCUUCUCGAGUCUUUAAAUACACAAAACCCUAAGAUUUAUUAUCGGCUCUGUUUUCUUUGGACACAAGAAACCGAGAAAGUUGAUUUUUUUCCAAAAUCUCAAAAUGAAAAGAAUCGUUGUGUUUAGAUUACAUGAGGCUAGAGAAAUGGUAAACCUGGCCGGUGUUGGAGAAGACGAUAAGAGCGAGCAG
rnacentral:lncRNA from 1 species